rnacentral:lncRNA from 1 species
GGGAGGAGGCAGCGCAUUCCACGGACCUAGGAUUUGGCCUCAUUUUUAGGAAGCCUGUGUUCCUGGGUUGUGACUUUCUUAAGUACUUCUAGGUCUUCCACUUGCCUUUGUUGCUGCAGGAAAGUUAGAGGGAAUUGGGUACUUCCCUUUUCCCAGAAGUUUGGCCCUGGUUACAUCUCUGUUAGGCUUUUGGGACAUACAUUCAGCCCUCAAUGUCUGUGAGUUCUGUGCCUGCACAUUCAAACAAGGAAGGGUGGAAAACCUGUCUGUACUGAUUGAUUGAUUGUCAUUGUUUUCUGAACAUCCUGGUAGGUUUUCUGGAGGUCAACUACAGUAGAACAGCUAUUUACAUAGUAUACAUUGUAGUCGGUAAGUCAUCUGGAGAUCAUUUAAAGCCUAUUAAAGGCUUUAAAGGCAAGCACUAUGCCAUUUCGUAUAAGGGAUAUUUUAGCAUGGGGGGCAGUGGUCCUGGAAGUGAUCCACAGUGGAUACUGAGGGAUGGCUAUAGUUUUUCCUGUUUCUUUGUUUUUGCUGUGUGCUCUGCUAUUGAGCUAUAUUCCCAGUCCUAUAGUUUCUCUUGAAGAAAGGGCUUAGGAAAACAGACACAAUUCCUUGGGCAUCUUUCAGAAUGGCUACGUUUCCCUCCCCUAUGAAAGCAAGCAGUGAUUUUUCCCUGAUCUUCACUGGGGACACCUGGUAGGGUUUCUGGAGGUAAAAAGAAAUGGGAAAGUCCAUUCCAAGAUUGGUCCCCAUCAUUAUCAUUAUUUUUUUUUUUUCCCUCUGAAGCUUGUCCUCCUCAGCUUUUAGUAGUACACCAGUGAUAGUUUAGUUUUCCCUACUCUGGUAACUGCUCUUCACACAGGUUUCUGCUCUAGUAAGUUGCACUUUAUGGGCUUUUGUCUUUGUCUCUCCAUUUGGGGCAUCAGUUUUCCUGUAAACACAUUUCUCUGAUGGAUGUAAGAAGAGUUGCUAAUUUUUAGUUCAUGUGCUUUCUUAUUCUCUGGAGGUGAGUGUUGCCUUCUGUGUCCUUACAUUGCCACAGUGGAACUGAGAAUUACCUGACUUCAGUUUUUGAUAUUAGUUGGCUAUUUAUUUAUUUAUUUAUUUUUGUGGUGCCUUGGGUGGAGCCCAGGAUCUUGGGUUUGCUAAGCAAGCAUUCUACCACCCAGCCACACCACCAGACCUACUGACAACUUGUAAACCUCAGACUUCCUCCAUCCCCUGUGCCC